rnacentral:lncRNA from 1 species
UCAACGUUUCCUCACGUGCACACUCCGCACUGAAAGGCAGCUACAGCAACACAGAAGAAAACUCUCAGGUGGGCUUUAUACGUCCCCACCUCUGCCUGCCCAAAAGCAGGGAGCACAGCCUCCUUCCACAGUGGGUGCAUGACUGUCAGCUGCAGGGGAGCUUCAGGACUUCGGGUCUGCAGGGGGACGGCUGGAGUCAGGGCCUCUCCAUUGUCAUUGCCUCUCCAAAGCACUCUCUGUCUGCAGCCUCUGCAUUUCCAUCUACGUCUUAUGCUACAGGGGAAGCAGAAACAAGGAGUGUUUUUAGGUGGAGGUGCUAACGGCCCUAUUUGAGCAGGGGGUUGGCCAAGCUGACCUCUUCAGGUACCUCCCAACCUCAACCACGCUCUCUUUGUGUGAAUUCAGAACACUACAAAGCCCGUGCUGGUCCCUCCAGCAGGAAGCAACAGUCUUUAUUGGGCUGACAGCUGCUCAGAGCUGCAAGGGAUCCGCACUGGUUUCCCUGAUGCUCGUGUCAUCUUCAGCAUUGGAAGCACAGGGACUUUCUCACCAACGCUAGGGAGAGAAAAAGAAAGGGCUCAAGUUUCAUUUCCAGUGAGGGCAGCUGAGUGACGCUCCCUGCUCCCUUCAGCCCCAGUCCUGGGGAGCGUGCAUAUGCAGGAGUCCCAAGGGUCUGUGUGGCCCUGCAGAGGCCCCUCGUGUCCCAGCCAGUGAGAGGGAAUCUACGCAGCGCCAGGCUGAGGCGCUGUGUGAGGCCGGGCUGGAGACCUUUGGCCAAGCAGCUACGGAAGGCCAGGGCAAGGGUGCUUCUGAGCCCAGGAAAGAAGCCUGUUCCAGGAGAGGUUUACCGGAUCAGAAGAUCCUCUGCAGAAUUCCCAGGGAUGUCCAGAGCUCUGCUCUUGGUCCUGUCUUCCUGCAGGGCCUCCUUGCUCUUCUCCAGCUGUUUCCUCACCCAUACACUCCGCACUGAAAGGCAAAAAGUUGUUGAUCCCAGCUGCACAGCUGCAAAGCUUUGACAGCAGAGAGGGCACGUGCCUUUCCCCAGUGUUAUCUGCAACUGGGUAAGCCGAAAGCACUCUUGUGAGCAGUGGAAGGCCUCAGUUUAAUCCACAUCCAGAUGAAUCCCUAUCUCACAUUUCCUAUGGGUGAAAUCGGUCCUCUCCCCAAAGGGGAGAAAUUAAAGAGCCCAAAUUUCAAGGAAACCCUUUCAAAGCUGUGAAUGCUGGUCUUUUAACGCUUGGUCCAAUGAAGUAAUGAAGCUCUUUGGCAGCAGCCAAAUUGCAAACAAACCCCAUCUUCAUGAUUUUCAGCAGCAGAUUGGGCACAUCCCCAGUCAGCAUGCUAGCUGCGGUGAAUACCGUGGUGAAUGUUUAUAAAACAAGGUAAUGCUGAGUUUCCCAGCACUGAACAGUUUCUGUGCUUCCAGUCCAAACAAAUUAAGAUUAGACUUGCAAAAUAGUUAAAGCACCCAUUAUACAUGCUUGCCCUUUUCUUACUCUUCCCUGAGAAUCUGCUCCUGGCCCCUGCUACAUGGGCAAUAUAAUUGUUCACUUGGCUUAAGCCAAUGUUGUUUUUUUUAUUACUGCAGCUUGAAAUGAGUCAGUUUAAAAGUGGCUGAGAUCCUCAGAGCUCUGGAGGCACAUAACCUUCAUAGUGCCAGCUCUCCACAGCCAUCUUCUCAAGGUAGCUACCUGGCAUUUGGAUGUUUCCUAAAGGAGCUUGUCUGGAGUGUACCAGUCAGCUCAAUGCCUGAGCACUGUCAGCAUCCACAGACUAUGUGUUCCUGGCAUACUUUCACAACCCGCUCAAUUAGGUGAUCUCAGAACACACUUUGCCGUGUGCCACCAACCCUUGUGCUGAAUGUGGCAUAUGUUGGUACUAGCAUUCCCUUAAACACAGGUUGAGAGGAAUGAAAAUAGUUAUUUUUGAUUCUUGAUGCAAGUAGCAAUGAAAAAUGUUUGGGCUUGUAGUCAUUUGUCCCUCUAAUUGACUUUGUUCCACAGUAAAACCAGUGCC